rnacentral:rRNA from 1 species
CACGUAGAAAUCUACCGAGUAGCGGGGAUAGCCCAGAGAAAUUUGGAUUAAUACCGCAUGUGCACUACGGUGUAAAGGAGGCCUCUUCUUGAAAGCUUCCACUAUUCGAUGAGUCUGCGUCAGAUUACGCUAGUUGGUGGGGUAAUGGCCUACCAAGGCGACGAUCUGUAGCUGGUCUGAGAGGAUGAUCAGCCACACUGGAACUGAGACACGGUCCAGACUCCUACGGGAGGCAGCAGUGGGGAAUAUUGGACAAUGGGGGCAACCCUGAUCCAGCAAUACCGCGUGUGUGAAGAAGGC